GAAGACCUGCUUCUGAACUGUCGUGGUAUGGAGAAGAUAUAGAAGUACUGGGUUCCUAGAGCAGUUCAAUGCCUGCUGGGGAGAGGUGACAUUCAAGUGAUGAAGAAAUAGGAGUCUGCACCAUUCGUCAGCCUAGCGAGAAGGCGGCUCUAUGCUCACUUUGAAAGAGGGCAGUGCAAAAGUUACCUAGGACAAGGGAAGUUACGGGAUUAAAUGAUCCUUGAUCACGAAAGCAGGUGCACCGGAGGCAAUCAGAAUGCACGUCUGCUGAAGCCCCGAAAGAAGUUAACAGCAGUCAAACUUGCUACCCAUAUGGUGGAAACAUCAGGAUUACUGAAUCCAUAGCAAACUCUCGG
rnacentral:lncRNA from 1 species